GACAGUCUGAAUGUGUGUGUGUUUCAGGUUAUAAAGCAGUAGGACAGUCUGAAUGUGUGUGUGUUUCAGGUUAUAAAGCAGUAGGACAGUCUGAAUGUGUGUGUGUUUCAGGUUAUAAAGCAGUAGGACAGUCUGAAUGUGUGUGUGUUUCAGGUUAUAAAGCAGUAGGACAGUCUGAAUGUGUGUGUGUUUCAGGUUAUAAAGCAGUAGGACAGUCUGAAUGUGUGUGUGUUUCAGGUUAUAAAGCAGUAGGACAGUCUGAAUGUGUGUGUGUUUCAGGUUAUAAAGCAGUAGGACAGUCUGAAUGUGUGUGUGUUUCAGGUUAUAAAGCAGUAGGACAGUCUGAAUGUGUGUGUGUUUCAGGUUAUAAAGCAGUAGGACAGUCUGAAUGUGUGUGUGUUUCAGGUUAUAAAGCAGUAGGACAGUCUGAAUGUGUGUGUGUUUCAGGUUAUAAAGCAGUAGGACAGUCUGAAUGUGUGUGUGUUUCAGGUUAUAAAGCAGUAGGACAGUCUGAAUGUGUGUGUGUUUCAGGUUAUAAAGCAGUAGGACAGUCUGAAUGUGUGUGUGUUUCAGGUUAUAAAGCAGUAGGACAGUCUGAAUGUGUGUGUGUUUCAGGUUAUAAAGCAGUAGGACAGUCUGAAUGUGUGUGUGUUUCAGGUUAUAAAGCAGUAGGACAGUCUGAAUGUGUGUGUGUUUCAGGUUAUAAAGCAGUAGGACAGUCUGAAUGUGUGUGUGUUUCAGGUUAUAAAGCAGUAGGACAGUCUGAAUGUGUGUGUGUUUCAGGUUAUAAAGCAGUAGGACAGUCUGAAUGUGUGUGUGUUUCAGGUUAUAAAGCAGUAGGACAGUCUGAAUGUGUGUGUGUUUCAGGUUAUAAAGCAGUAGGACAGUCUGAAUGUGUGUG